rnacentral:rRNA from 1 species
AGCAGCCGCGGUAAUUCCAGCUCCAAUAGCGUAUAUUAAAGUUGCUGCAGUUAAAAAGCUCGUAGUUGAAUUUCGGGACCAAUAUGUCGGUCGUGCCUCGGUACGUACUGGCAUCGUUGGUUUCUCCCUUCUGACGAACCAUGAUGUCAUUUAUUUGGUGUCGUGGGGAAUCAGGACUGUUACUUUGAAAAAAUUAGAGUGUUUAAAGCAGGCUCACGCUUGAAUACAUUAGCAUGGAAUAAUGAAAUAGGACGUUUGAUUCUAUUUUGUUGGUUUCUAGGAUCGACGUAAUGAUUAAUAGGGAUAGUUGGGGGCAUUAGUAUUCAAUUGUCAGAGGUGAAAUUCUUGGAUUUAUUGAAGACUAACUACUGCGAAAGCAUUUGCCAAGAAUGUUUUCAUUAAUCAAGAACGAAAGUUAGAGGUUCGAAGGCGAUCAGAUACCGCCCUAGUUCUAACCGUAAACGAUGACAACCAGCGAUUAAUCGGCGUUAAUAUAUGACCCGAUUAGCAGCUUACC